AAUACGUAGGACCCAAGCGUUAUCCGGAUUCACUGGGUGUAAAGGGUGUGUAGGCGGGCGUGCGCGUCUGGGGUGAAAGGUUCCGGCUCAACCGGAAACAUGCCUUGGAUACGGCACGUCUUGGGUGCGGGAGAGGACGGUGGAAUUCCUGGUGUAGCGGUGAAAUGCGUAGAUAUCAGGAGGAACACCAGUGGCGAAGGCGGCCGUCUGGCCCGCAACCGACGCUGAAACACGAAAGCGUGGGGAUCAAACAGGAUUAGAUACCCUGGUAGUCCACGCCCUAAACGAUGCAUGCUUGGUGUCGGCGCCUUGCGCGUCGGUGCCGUAGGUAACCCGGUAAGCAUGCCACCCGGGAAGUACGGUCGCAAGGCU
rnacentral:rRNA from 1 species